GAUGAAGAACGUAGCGAAAUGCGAUACGUAAUGUGAAUUGCAAAUUCAGUGAAUCAUCGAGUCUUUGAACGCACAUUGCGCCCCCUAGUAUUCCGGGGGGCAUGCCUGUCCGAGCGUCAUUGCUGCCCUCAAGCACGGCUUGUGUGUUGGGCCCCGUCCUCCGAUCCCGGGGGACGGGCCCGAAAGGCAGCGGCGGCACCGCGUCCGGUCCUCGAGCGUAUGGGGCUUUGUCACCCGCUCUGUAGGCCCGGCCGGCGCUUGCCGAUCAACCCAAAUUUUUAUCCAGGUUGACCUCGGAUCAGGUAGGGAUACCCGCUGAACUUAAGCAUAUCAAUAAGCGGAGGA
rnacentral:misc_RNA from 1 species